CCCAUGACAUCAAGCACGGCUUCCGCCACGUUUGCGGACGCGUUGGGCUCCCCUCCUCCUGUACGGAGGUUCAUCUCUGGUGCGCGCUGCCGGCAGCUUGCCCCCUCCCACCUUCCAAGUGGAAUGCUUGGAAUGCUUGGAAUGCCCGACUGAUCGGAGACUGUUGGCCGGGUCAGCGGAACGCUGCCACUCCACAUGGGCCACUGCUGUUUUACCUAUAGGGUUGUUUUUAACCAUUGCCGUGGCACUGUUGAGCGUCCACAAACGCUAUUUACCCCAACGCAACUGCGUCGGCUGUGGCUGCGUCGUGGCACGACCGGGCACAGGGCCGAGCCAACACUGCCUCUGCGGCGCGUGUGACGCCAGUUAGCUCCCUUCGAGUAGGAGCCGUUUACUGGGAUUUAUUAGGUUGUUUUGUGUUUAUCUGUUUUUGGUUUCUCAUUUGUCUCCUGCUUAUUAUUUGUCUUUUGUUUGAUUUUGCCACGUGUGGUUUUCCCUUCAUGGGGAAACCCGGUUUUGUUAUUAAUUGAGUUAGUCUUUUGUGUUUGUAGAUGGCUUAUUCCACGAUGGAGACCUCCACGAUCCAUCAGGCAGAUGGCGGUGGGGAGGAGGAGUGGGCGGAGUCUCAACAGUGGGGGGAGUCUCAACAGGACGGUGGCGUCGUCGGUAGCAGGAACUCCACGACCCAGACCUCGAUGAUCCAUCAGGCAGAUAGGAUCUAUGCCGUCUCAUAGGGUCCGAUGACCCCAUGAGACGUGAAGUCAAAAGGACUCCGGGGAGAAAGCAGAGUUAGUAACGUGUGAUGGAGAGAUGAAAAUUCAUCCCUAAGGAGAGAAAAAAGAGGAGAUAGGUACUCAGUGCAUCCUAAAACGUCCCCCGGCAGCUAUAAGCCUAUAGCAGCAUAUCAAGGGGCUGGACCAGGGCAAACCUGAUUCAGCCCUCACUAUAAGCUCUGUCAAAGAGGAAGGUCUUCAGUCGACUCUUAAACGAGGAGACUGUGUCUGCCUCGCGGACUGAAAUUGGAAGCUGGUUCCAUAAAAGAGGAGCUUGAUAACUAAAGGCUCUGGCUCCCAUUCUACUUUUUAAGACUCUAGGAACUACAAGUAGUCCCGCAUUUAGUGAGCGCAGCUCUCUAGUGGGGCAAUAUGGUACUACAAGCUCCUUAAGAUAUGAUGGUGCAUCACCAAUCAAGGCUUUGUAGGUUAAGAGAAUAAUUUUAAAAGUGAUUCUUGAUUUUACUGGGAGCCAGUGCAGAGCAGCUAGUGCAGGAGUGAUGUGAUCUCUUUUCUUAGUUUUAGUGAGAACACGAGCUGAAGCAUUCUGGAUCAACUGGAGGGACCUAAGAGACUUAUUAGAGCAGCCUGAUAAUAAGGAGGAUAUGUGGUUCAUUAGACAAGCUGGAAGCAAAUCCAUUACCUAAGUUUAUGUUGGUGCCGUUCCUGUUCCAGUGUGCAAUACGCACAUUGCUAUUAGCAUUAGUGGGUAUAAGAUAACGUAUUCACUUGUAAAUGAAAGUGCACUUACCUCCAUAACCUGCAAGUUUAAACAGAGUAAGGCAUCUUAUCUAAAAAAUCACGUUGCUAGACGUAUACUUAAGCCAAACUACUUCAUGUGCUUUAGAGUAACGCACAUGACCACAAUUCACUGGUUGAGCUAUGCACAGACACAUAUUAAACUGCCACUGUCUUCUACAAGAUUAUGUCAUUAGAAAUGUAAGACCACAGAAACAAGCUGCAACAGGGGAAACAUUUACUUUAAUAUCUCUGAACCUAAACUAUGUCCAGGCACAACAACAUGUUGAAGUUGAGGUUUAUGGGAAACAUAUUUUGUUUAGUGCAAUUGACGUCAGUUAUCUCUGUCAUUUCGCCUGAGGUAAAUUGCACAUGUGUGCAGUGGUGUCAGAUUGCUGGAUGGCCUCUGGUAGAUUAUAACUUUUAAAAAGCUCUGUGAUUUAUUGGAGAAACUUUAAUUUAUUUAUUUAUUAUGAGCAAGCACUUAAAGGUUUACCUUCAUGUUUUACUUAAUUUCUUCUGGUACAAGACUGUACAAGACAUUACUUUCCCCACUCCUUGUACUAAAUUUGUACACAAUUAGACACAGCAGUUUCUCUUAGGAAAGCAUUUGUUUUGUUUAAAUAUUGAGUCUUAGUUAACCUUGAGAAUGAUAGCUCCAGACUCUUAAGCUUCUUGGAAUCAGAAAGGAACAGGAUCUCUUUUCCCAUAAAUCACGGGGCAGAAAAAGGUUUACGAGACAGCCUGAUCCAGUCCCAAUUUCUUCAUCCACCAAUAGAAAAUACAAGUUUUUGUUUUUAUCAGCCUCCUUUUACUUCUGAAGAUGUCAACUAAGAACAAUAAACACUCACUAAAAGAGGAUGAACACAUUGACCCUUUGUGAAAGCUUUUCACCAUUGAAAAGAUCCAACACCCAUCGGUCAUUUCUCAUACUUUAUUUAUGUACCUUGUGAUUAAGGGAGGGUCAUUUCUUAUCAUACAUGUUUAAGCCCAUUAGAGCUCAACCCUGACCAUCUUUGUCAGUCUAAGUCUGAUACUCUAUCACUUUGAGCCUUUCUCGCAAUAUCACGAAGAAUAAAUAAUAAUUACAUCCUAAUAAUUACAUCCGGUGAUGGUUUUCUUCACUUCAACAAAAGAAAAGUUAUGAAACAAUUUACUGGUACAUUAUUUGAAACAAGACUGAGUUGAACACUUGUUGUGACCACAUUUUGGUGCCUGAAGGAAAUAUGUGUAACGUGCAUGAACUCUAUGCACUGUGGGUACAUAACUCACCAAAUGAUGGACGGUUGAGGGGAAACUGGGACAUGAGGUUAUGAAGUAUAUUAGACACUGCAUUCAUUUAUAUGGGUUUUAUUAGGUGUGUGCAAUUCAAGAGGUAUGCAAUUGUGUCUCAAAUAUAACAAAAUAAGAGACAGAGGAAACAGUAGACAGAGGACACAGUUGCCCAGUUUUGUCAGUUUUUAAAAAGCUUCAGUGGUAAAAAAAGACAACCUGAGUAUUGCUACUCUAGCCUUAAUUUUAAUCGUCUAUUUUUUCUUUCUGUAGUUGUAGUACAGCUUCCUCCAUCACUGUUUAACACAUAUGUUUAUCUCACAAACGUCAGCCACAGGGAAUUCCAUAAUUACACCUUCAUACAUGUGUUGAUAGAUUACUUUUUUAAUGACAGGAUAUGUGGUUCUAUAUUGAUUUAAACAUGUGUAGAUGUAAUCAUGUUGCUGUCUUAGUAUUUAACCUCACAAGACAAUAAAGUGACGUAGCUUCCUUUUUAUGUUGAUAGUGUAGUGUAUUUUGCAUUACAGCUCUUAAAGAUACAGCCAUAAAGACAGAUAUGGGCUCAGAGGCCCACAAGGUGUUCAUGGUAGAGAAUACCCUUGUUUAGAGUUGGACCAGAUGGUUUACAUUAGGAAACCCUUAUGGAAUGACGUGAUUCUGCUCCAAGGCUGGAGCAGCACGCCCAUUCCUGCUUCCUUAAAAGAGGUAACACAAAUUCAUUUGGGUGGAUUUCGUGGGUUUCGUGGAUUCCCUGGACCUUCUGAAAUCACCCGGGCUGUAAGCAGUAUACGCUCGUAAUUAGACCUGUUUUCUUUCUGUAAUAAAACUGCAUUAUAUCAGCAACAA